rnacentral:rRNA from 1 species
GACGAACGCUGGCGGCGUGCUUAACACAUGCAAGUCGAACGGUGAAGCGAGUGCUUGCACUCGUGGAUCAGUGGCGAACGGGUGAGUAACACGUGAGUAACCUGCCCAUCACUCUGGGAUAAGCACUGGAAACGGUGUCUAAUACUGGAUACGACCAACCCUUGCAUGGGGUGUUGGUGGAAAGAUUUAUCGGUGAUGGCUGGACUCGCGGCCUAUCAGCUUGUUGGCGGGGUAAUGGCCCACCAAGGCGACGACGGGUAGCCGGCCUGAGAGGGUGACCGGCCACACUGGGACUGAGACACGGCCCAGACUCCUACGGGAGGCAGCAGUGGGGAAUAUUGCACAAUGGGCGAAAGCCUGAUGCAGCGACGCCGCGUGAGGGAUGACGGCCUUCGGGUUGUAAACCUCUUUCAGCAGGGAAGAAGCGAAAGUGACGGUACCUGCAGAAGAAGCACCGGCUAACUACGUG